rnacentral:tRNA from 1 species
UAUGUCUGAUUUUAAAAGUAUUAAAUUGUAAAUUUAAUUAUGGAAGUUUUCCUUGUGCCA